AGCCUUGCUUGCAGGGCUGCUCCUCCAGCUUGCCAGGGAUUUUAUGAGGUCACGUCAUUUUGUCUGUGACCUGAGGCCAAGAGGAUGGUACCCCAGCCAAUGGUUGGGAGGUGGUGGGAAACAUGGCUACCUUCUCUCCCCCAGCCUGCCUCAGACUGUAGCUGAUGACCAGGAGGAAAUAUCACACUGAAGAGUUAGGUCACUGUAAAAAUCCAACUCUACCAGAGCUCAGCUUUAGCUGGCACUGCUACUGUCUGCGUUGUACAUUGCAGAUAUUAGUGAGUGCAUCUCAUUGGACCCCAAAUCAUAGCCAGGAUACUAGAGUAAGGCAGCUGCAACAUGACCCAGAAAUAUGGAAUUAGAAUUUAGGGGAACUGGAUUUUGAGUGUCUAUAGACACCAUCUAGCAAGCCUACCAAGUUGGCUGCUCUGUGUAUGCGCACAACCUUCUUCAUUACAAUUUCUAGAAAACAAGAAUAGUAACAACAGCAUGCUCCUAAUACAAUGUAACUAUCCUCCACACAAACAGAACACUCUGAUCCUCUGAACAGUCUCAUAAAUCAUCAUAUCCAUCUUCAAGUGAGAAUCAGCCCUCCUUGUUUAAUCACACUCCCAGCUUCACAUCCCUGUCAGUUUGGGUCCUCCAAGAGUCGAUGCUGAGACUGAAUCAUAAGUGAAAGAGAUUUAUUGGGGGAAAUGCCUGGCAAGGAUAAAGACUAUUGGGAACAGGAGGAGGCAGAGCAUUUUCAGACCCCAUUGCAGGUCUGAGAAAGUCUGGAGCAGGUUGAUGGGAGUUCCUGAGCAAAUGGUGGAAGGUUGAACAGUAAUGGCCCAAGAAAAAGUGGCCCCUGCCACUCUCAGCCACUCCAUAGAAGAGCAGUGUUGGUCUGACUGCUAUGAUGGAUCUGGAGGAGGAGUAGGUGAAGGCCAUCACCCACUAUGCUUCCUGCAGCAGGUUCUUUUGAAGUAGAUCUGGGAGGUACACCUCCUCCAUGGCCAGCACAAUCUCAAUGUAACCCAUUGAACACUUGGGGAAAGGAAGGAAAAAAGGGAAAUUGGUACAUACAAAUACACAACAAGACACAUAUGAAAACCCAGGCAGCUGCAACUGUUCUCAAGUCUGCAGCUGACCCUGAGGCCACGGUUGGCAUUUGUAAAUUCCUUCUUCCAACUUGAACCUCGGCUGAUUGUGGUUCUUUACUUGUUGGGGUGACCAGAUGUUUGUUUCUGAGCUCUUGAUGGUUUUUCCUGUAUGGGGUUGCUAUAGUUUUCCACUGAUUUCUCCCUUUGGAUAAUGAAAUACAAAGAGCAUCCUCAGAGGAUGUAAUGGAUUUCAGACAUAUUCCUCCUUGUCCCUAUGUGUGGCGCAAAUCUCUGUUCUUCGAUAUUUGGGGUCAGUAUUCUCAACCAGUACACUAACCUCCUUUGCCUGUUGGCUCAGUGGUAUAAAAAGCUCCAAAUGGCCAGGUCUCAGUCUCAACUCUCCAUGCAAUAAAUCCAUCGUAUUCCCUGGUAGAGGCAUUCUUCGCUUGAGAACUAAGGCUUCUCAAUCUCGAGAGCUCAAAGUUGCAGUGUUAAGAAGCAAAACUUUAUUGCGUGUGGAUCAUUAGGUGCAAUUGUAAAUGAAGCCAGUCCCAUUCUUAUCCCUUGAUUCCCAAAUCCAAGCUUUGUGGCCACACAUGAAUCAGCUCCUAUUGAAUGUGCUUCAUAAUAGACACUGUACUUGGUAAAAGAGCCCUGGAGCCUCACAGGUCAUGAGAUCUCAACAGGCUCAGUUGCAUAAUCUUCAUGGGGCCAUUCCACUGUUCUGUCAGGCAUGCGGCUUAUGUAGGUGGUGGGGCCAAUGGGAGGAUCUGUGAAUCCCAUGGGCACCAAGUGCAUCGCCUCACUUCUGUUGCAUUUUAAUCCGUUUGUAAGAAGUCAUGCCAGAUGCAAAACCACUGUGAUGAGUAACCAGGCAUUUAGUAAGUUUUGUGUGACAGGGCAGCAAAGGCUUGUGGGCAUGGGAGACACAUCCAUAGGCAGAGUAAGUAAAUGUCUAGUCCUGUGAUGAAAAACUGCUGACUAUGAGGGAAGGGGUCGACGGUAAUCAAUUUUCCACCAGAUGGGUACGUGCUACAUUAUCCCCAGCCUACAGACAAUGGCCACAGCAGGGCCCUCCAGGGAUUCUGGUGCUCACCUUGGAGAUGUGUUUUUCAAUGCCUGAUAUCACAAAGUGUUCUCAGGAAUCUCAUAAACUAGAGUUAAAGGAUCAGGGAGCAGGUCACAAUUUAUGAAUCAUUCUGGCAUUCUUUUUUUUCUUCUUCUUUCAUUCUGGCAUUCUUAUCUAAGACUUUGGAUUCCUUCUUUUAUAUGCUGGAAAGCAAUUCCGUUUAAUGUAGGCCAUUUGUUUUAGUCCUUCAACCAAACAGAGCUACCUCCAGCUGCUCUAGGUAAACCACUGAAUUCAGAAUUUCUCUUAAGUGCACCUAGACUGAUAAAUCUGGCUCAGUCAAAUCAGAUUUUACUUUGUCUCUCUCCUAAGUCCCUUAGAAUUCAUUCUUGCACAUAAUCCUCAGGCUUCUACAAAUAUAUAUUAGCAGAAGGUUGUGGUUCUUUUAAUGUGUUUUCUAUCUUCUCCUGGGUCAGAUUUGAACUGAUUUCUAUGAAUUCUACUGGGAUGACUCUACUGACUGCCAUGGGAGGGUGAUGGGGGGUAGUGCAUGUGGGAGAAUCCGCAUUCCCUGGGAAAGUACUUUCUUCAGACGAGUCUUUACAAAGUCUUCAAGCAAGAAAGGACUAGAUUCCCAGAAAGGAAAGGAAGGGCAGCACAGUGGGCUUUAAGGUUUUGAAGUACAUUGAUUCAUCUUAACACACCCAAGUGUCCCUAUGCAAUAUUCCUGGUCAAUGUCCUUCCCAAUUAAUCACCUUUGAUAUAAGCACCUAAAGAGGCAGUGAAUUCAAGUUUGGUUGUAAUUCUGCCACCUGCAGGAACAACUCUGGGUUUGAUUUGUACUACGAUAAGAGAUUCUUUCAGAGGCAGUUGUAGAACUUUCUCUGACGCUUUUGACUUAUGCCUCUGAGUUGAAAUUUUGAAGCCCUGAGAUUGUCGGGGUAUUUUGUUUUGUAUGUUUUCUGUAAAUUUUCCAUUGCAUUCAGUAACUUUAACCCUUGUAUUUAUCUCUUCCACCAGAAAAUCCUAUCAAAAAAGUGCUUGGUCUCUUUUAACAAGUAAUUGAUACCAUGAAUGACAGGUCAUAACUGAAGACAUUGCAUGCAAUGUCUUUUUCCAGAAACCCAUUUUCCACUAGCAUGAGGUCGUUACUGGCCUCAAGCUAAUCCAUGCCUGACACUGAAUCUUAGAUUUCCCUUCAUCUUUGCAGUUGUAUUUCCUGGAGCAACUUUCAGUACUAGGUACUUUAUCAGUCAGGAUUCUGUCAAGAAAAUAGAAAAUGGCCUAUGUAUCUCAAACAGAAAGGUAUUUAAUGCACAAAAAUGAAUAGUUCUAAAACCAUCAAAAGUGCUUGAUUCCAAGGUCAGAAAAAUCAGUUGCUUCUUUUCAGGAGCUCAGUCAACUAAAGGAAUCAUUGGAACCCCCUGCAAAUGAGAAAAUUAGGAUGAUUUGCAGGAAAAGACCCAAAGUUAAUGGCAAAACCUCAUGACUGCCAUCUGCUAAAAUUUGCAUGCCUGCACACAGCUGCCAUGAGAAAAUGAUUGCUCUGUUUCCUCUGCCUCCUAAAACUUGGCUGAGAAUCUAAAUUGGAAGCCUGCUGGGAUCCUGAGAAACAUAGCUUUUAAGCUUUCAGCCUCUGCAAUACCUGGGAGAUUAAGAAAGGCAGAGAUGGUGCUAAAAAUCAGUGUAUUAUAUCUGGCAUAUUGACCUACUAUCAAGGUGGAAAACAAGAAGAGUGAUUCCUUCAUGUGGUUGCUAUGAGGCUUAAGUGAGGUAACACUUGCAAAGUCCUGGGAACAGUAUAUUGUACAUGGUAAGGCUUAAUAGUAGGUAGUGUGGUGUCUUUAUCAGUCCUAACAUCAGAACAGCUCAUAGCUGUCAACUCCAUCCUCUGUGGGAAUGACCAUUGUUUUCCAUUUGAUGACACUGAACCAUUAUUUUCCAUUUGUCUCCCAUUUCCCCAGUACAGACCCAUGUGCUGGACUUUCCUGGGUCCUGGGAUGCUGGCUCCUUGGGACCGAAUUACCGGGGAUUCUAAAUGCCACUUGGCUUGUCCUCAGCAAGUAUUAACAGAAAGUAACAGGAUAGGAAGGGAGGGCGUUGGGGUAUGUCUUCCCUGUCACCUUCCUGUUUGGGCCAUUGUUCUGCCGCUGGCUGGGUCGUCCCUCCUCUGCACUUGUGGUCCUCACUGGAUUCCAAUGACAAUAUCUUCCCCUAUGGCGUACUGCUGCUCUUCAACUCUGGACACCUUGUUCUCCUUCACUGAAUCCCUUUACAAUGAUGCCCACACCUUUCAGUCCCUUUAUUAAAAUGCCUUCAUUUGCAGUUUCAGAGUAGAAUCCUGUUUCCUUCUGGAGCCUUUCCUAACUGAUAUGCUUCGAGCCAUCUUAACGCCCCAGGCCUGCUGGUAUCAGAGUCAUCGACCUCCUCAUUUCCACUGCAGAGGGCCGGAGGGAGAUUCGGAAAAUCAGGGCAGGGUCCAGGAGAAGCCCCAGUGAGCUCUUUCAGGGAAGCCCAUUCUCCCUCUGGACCUUCAAGGAGCCACGCUUACCUGCUGUCCCCUGGGAGAGCUUUCAGGCAAUGUUUGGAUGAUUUGGGGUCGAACUGAAGAUAAUUCAGGUGCUUGCUGUGUUCUCCCUUUCUGAAGUCUGGGACUGCCAUGGAAGUUGUGUGAUUUCUUUGGGCAGGAUGGCAGAUGAUGAUGAGCUUCAAAGAGAGAACAUCUAUGGUUCAUCUUUACAUUGUCCUCCAAACCUGGCACGUAGAAAGUGCUCCAAAGAGCUCUGGAUGACCUCAGGAACAACGAAAUGAAAGAAUUGCAUCACCAAAAGCUACCCUGCGGCUGAUCCAGGUCAUUCUUCUGUUUGAGGAAAGAGGAACUGGAGCUGGAGCCAGAGCCUGAAUACAGCACCAUGUGGGAAUGCUGUUGCUUUCCUUCUGAAGAGGGCCUGAGUCUGGGAUUGAACUCCAUCAGGAAUAAUAUGACUUUUUGCCUGGAUGUUCAAAGGAAUUUUUUCUUUUUCUUUAAGCCAAGUAGUUCUAUUGAAACAGUGGCUCUCAAAGUGUAAUCCAUGAACAACAUAUGGACUUUCAAAAGCUGGAAGAAGCUUAUCAAUUUCUAGGUAUGGAAAAUCUCUUUCACAAUGUGUAUGUGCGAGUGUGUGUAUGCUAUGAAAAUAUAUACAUGCAUAUAUUUACAUAUAAAUAUAUACACACACAUCU